AAUCGGCUGCCAAAUGACGUGGUUAAAGAUCAACGCCAACGACGUCUUAAAUGUCAAAUUUUAAAAAUGGCGAGUCAGUGAUCGAUUGAGGAUUAUGGCAACAAGGCUGCAGCCCUUUGGCCAGCAUUAUCAUCCAAACGUCAUCAAGCACAUCUGGACAACUAAACACUCGAAUGCUUCAUGGUUUGCACGUGCGCGGAUGGUUUGUACAGAAUGAAACCGUUGCACGUGGUCUGAUUUCAACAAGAAACGUCACACACACACAAAAAGAACGGGACUUGAAUUCAUUAGUCACUUAUGAUCAAUGGGUAACAAAUUGUGUCCCGAAACUUCUUCACGGUGCACUGAACGGCUAAACGCGUGAACGCUUCUGCAUUUACUUGGAGGGUCGACGUUGAUGUCGCAACGCAUCCAAAUCGUGACUUGUUUAUUUGUUUUUGUUGGCUAAAAAAUGAAAAAUGUUUUCUUUACAUUUUAGGGGUUUUUCCCAUUUUUUGAA